rnacentral:lncRNA from 1 species
ACUAUCCUUAUAGGGACUCUCAUCACAAUAAUAGGCUCACACUGACUUCUCAUCUGAAUGGGACUAGAGGUAAAUAUACGAGCCAUUAUCCCAAUUUUAAUUUAAAAACAAGCCUCCACUCCACAGAAGCAGCUACCAACUAUUUCCUUACACAAGUACCUGCAUCCAUAAUCCUGAUAAUAGGGGUCAUUACCAAUAUACCGUACUCCUGAUGAUGAACAAUCAUAAACUCAAUCAAUCAAGUAGCAUCCUUAAUAAUAAUGGCCUUAACAAUAAAAUUAAGCAUAUCUCCUUUCCACUUUUGAGUCCCAGAAGUAACUAAAGGAAUCUCAUUGACAUCUGAGACAAAAUGUCACAUGACAAAAACUAGCCCCUAUUUCCAUUAUAUUUCAAAUUUUCUCCUCAAUAAACCCAAACAUUUUACUAGCGGCCACAAUGUUGUCUAUUCUGUUAGGUGGCUGAGGAGGGCUCAACUAAACACAACUGUGAAAAAUCUUAGCCUACUCAUCAAUUGCUCACAUGAGCUGAAUAAUUGCAAUCUUAACAUAUAACCCAAACAUUACUAUCCUAAACCUAAUUAUUUAUCUUAUCCUGACGGUAGCUAUAUUUAUAAUACUUAGUUCAAGCAUAGGCACUACAACUCUAUCACUAUCCCACGGCUGAAAUAAGAUACCAUGACUAGUAUCCAUAAUCCUACUUAUCCUGUUAUCCUUAGGAGACUUACCCCCAUUAAUAGGGUUCCUAUGCAAAUGGACUAUUAUUCAAGAAUUUACAAAAAAACAAUAGCCUUAUUAUACCCACUAUUAUAGCUACCAUAGCCCUAUUCAAUCUGUACUUUUAUAUGUGCCUAAUCUACUCUACUUCACUAUCCCCUACAUCUAAUAAUAUCAAA